UGAACGCUGGCGGCGUGCCUAAUACAUGCAAGUCGAGCGAACAGACGAGGAGCUUGCUCCUCUGACGUUAGCGGCGGACGGGUGAGUAACACGUGGAUAACCUACCUAUAAGACUGGGAUAACUUCGGGAAACCGGAGCUAAUACCGGAUAAUAUAUUGAACCGCAUGGUUCAAUAGUGAAAGACGGUUUUGCUGUCACUUAUAGAUGGAUCCGCGCCGCAUUAGCUAGUUGGUAAGGUAACGGCUUACCAAGGCAACGAUGCGUAGCCGACCUGAGAGGGUGAUCGACCACACUGGAACUGAGACACGGUCCAGACUCCUACGGGAGGCAGCAGUAGGGAAUCUUCCGCAAUGGGCGAAAGCCUGACGGAGCAACGCCGCGUGAGUGAUGAAGGUCUUCGGAUCGUAAAACUCUGUUAUUAGGGAAGAACAAAUGUGUAAGUAACUAUGCACGUCUUGACGGUACCUAAUCAGAAAGCCACGGCUAACUACGUG
rnacentral:rRNA from 1 species